rnacentral:rRNA from 1 species
GGUUAAGCGACUAAGCGUACACGGUGGAUGCCCUGGCAGUCAGAGGCGAUGAAGGACGUGCUAAUCUGCGAUAAGCGUCGGUAAGGUGAUAUGAACCGUUAUAACCGGCGAUUUCCGAAUGGGGAAACCCAGUGUGUUUCGACACACUAUCAUUAACUGAAUCCAUAGGUUAAUGAGGCGAACCGGGGGAACUGAAACAUCUAAGUACCCCGAGGAAAAGAAAUCAACCGAGAUUCCCCCAGUAGCGGCGAGCGAACGGGGAGCAGCCCAGAGCCUGAAUCAGUAUGUGUGUUAGUGGAAGCGUCUGGAAAGGCGCGCGAUACAGGGUGACAGCCCCGUACACAAAAAUGCACAUAUUGUGAGCUCGAUGAGUAGGGCGGGACACGUGGUAUCCUGUCUGAAUAUGGGGGGACCAUCCUCCAAGGCUAAAUACUCCUGACUGACCGAUAGUGAACCAGUACCGUGAGGGAAAGGCGAAAAGAACCCCGGCGAGGGGAGUGAAAAAGAACCUGAAACCGUGUACGUACAAGCAGUGGGAGCACGCUUAGGCGUGUGACUGCGUACCUUUUGUAUAAUGGGUCAGCGACUUAUAUUCUGUAGCAAGGUUAACCGAAUAGGGGAGCCGAAGGGAAACCGAGUCUUAACUGGGCGUUAAGUUGCAGGGUAUAGACCCGAAACCCGGUGAUCUAGCCAUGGGCAGGUUGAAGGUUGGGUAACACUAACUGGAGGACCGAACCGACUAAUGUUGAAAAAUUAGCGGAUGACUUGUGGCUGGGGGUGAAAGGCCAAUCAAACCGGGAGAUAGCUGGUUCUCCCCGAAAGCUAUUUAGGUAGCGCCUCGUGAACUCAUCUCCGGGGGUAGAGCACUGUUUCGGCAAGGGGGUCAUCCCGACUUACCAACCCGAUGCAAACUGCGAAUACCGGAGAAUGUUAUCACGGGAGACACACGGCGGGUGCUAACGUCCGUCGUGAAGAGGGAAACAACCCAGACCGCCAGCUAAGGUCCCAAAGUCAUGGUUAAGUGGGAAACGAUGUGGGAAGGCCCAGACAGCCAGGAUGUUGGCUUAGAAGCAGCCAUCAUUUAAAGAAAGCGUAAUAGCUCACUGGUCGAGUCGGCCUGCGCGGAAGAUGUAACGGGGCUAAACCAUGCACCGAAGCUGCGGCAGCGACGCUUAUGCGUUGUUGGGUAGGGGAGCGUUCUGUAAGCCUGCGAAGGUGUGCUGUGAGGCAUGCUGGAGGUAUCAGAAGUGCGAAUGCUGACAUAAGUAACGAUAAAGCGGGUGAAAAGCCCGCUCGCCGGAAGACCAAGGGUUCCUGUCCAACGUUAAUCGGGGCAGGGUGAGUCGACCCCUAAGGCGAGGCCGAAAGGCGUAGUCGAUGGGAAACAGGUUAAUAUUCCUGUACUUGGUGUUACUGCGAAGGGGGGACGGAGAAGGCUAUGUUGGCCGGGCGACGGUUGUCCCGGUUUAAGCGUGUAGGCUGGUUUUCCAGGCAAAUCCGGAAAAUCAAGGCUGAGGCGUGAUGACGAGGCACUACGGUGCUGAAGCAACAAAUGCCCUGCUUCCAGGAAAAGCCUCUAAGCAUCAGGUAACAUCAAAUCGUACCCCAAACCGACACAGGUGGUCAGGUAGAGAAUACCAAGGCGCUUGAGAGAACUCGGGUGAAGGAACUAGGCAAAAUGGUGCCGUAACUUCGGGAGAAGGCACGCUGAUAUGUAGGUGAGGUCCCUCGCGGAUGGAGCUGAAAUCAGUCGAAGAUACCAGCUGGCUGCAACUGUUUAUUAAAAACACAGCACUGUGCAAACACGAAAGUGGACGUAUACGGUGUGACGCCUGCCCGGUGCCGGAAGGUUAAUUGAUGGGGUCAGCGCAAGCGAAGCUCUUGAUCGAAGCCCCGGUAAACGGCGGCCGUAACUAUAACGGUCCUAAGGUAGCGAAAUUCCUUGUCGGGUAAGUUCCGACCUGCACGAAUGGCGUAAUGAUGGCCAGGCUGUCUCCACCCGAGACUCAGUGAAAUUGAACUCGCUGUGAAGAUGCAGUGUACCCGCGGCAAGACGGAAAGACCCCGUGAACCUUUACUAUAGCUUGACACUGAACAUUGAGCCUUGAUGUGUAGGAUAGGUGGGAGGCUUAGAAGUGUGGACGCCAGUCUGCAUGGAGCCGACCUUGAAAUACCACCCUUUAAUGUUUGAUGUUCUAACGUUGACCCGUAAUCCGGGUUGCGGACAGUGUCUGGUGGGUAGUUUGACUGGGGCGGUCUCCUCCUAAAGAGUAACGGAGGAGCACGAAGGUUGGCUAAUCCUGGUCGGACAUCAGGAGGUUAGUGCAAUGGCAUAAGCCAGCUUGACUGCGAGCGUGACGGCGCGAGCAGGUGCGAAAGCAGGUCAUAGUGAUCCGGUGGUUCUGAAUGGAAGGGCCAUCGCUCAACGGAUAAAAGGUACUCCGGGGAUAACAGGCUGAUACCGCCCAAGAGUUCAUAUCGACGGCGGUGUUUGGCACCUCGAUGUCGGCUCAUCACAUCCUGGGGCUGAAGUAGGUCCCAAGGGUAUGGCUGUUCGCCAUUUAAAGUGGUACGCGAGCUGGGUUUAGAACGUCGUGAGACAGUUCGGUCCCUAUCUGCCGUGGGCGCUGGAGAACUGAGGGGGGCUGCUCCUAGUACGAGAGGACCGGAGUGGACGCAUCACUGGUGUUCGGGUUGUCAUGCCAAUGGCACUGCCCGGUAGCUAAAUGCGGAAGAGAUAAGUGCUGAAAGCAUCUAAGCACGAAACUUGCCCCGAGAUGAGUUCUCCCUGACUCCUUGAGAGUCCUGAAGGAACGUUGAAGACGACGACGUUGAUAGGCCGGGUGUGUAAGCGCAGCGAUGCGUUGAGCUAACCGGUACUAAUGAACCGUGAGGCUUAACCUU